GAUGAACGCUAGCGGCAGGCCUAAUACAUGCAAGUCGAACGGUGUCUUCGGACAUAGUGGCGCACGGGUGCGUAACACGUAUGCAACCUACCUUACAUUGGGGGAUAGCCUUUCGAAAGGGAGAUUAAUACCGCAUAAGACAGUAGCUGGGCAUCCAGCAGCUGUUAAAGAUUUAUCGAUGUAAGCUGGGCAUGCGUCCAAUUAGCUAGUUGGUGAGGUAACGGCUCACCAAGGCAAUGAUUGGUAGGGGAACUGAGAGGUCAAUCCCCCACACUGGCACUGGGAUACGGGCGAGACGCCUACGGGAGGCAGCAGUAGGGAAUAUUGGGCAAUGGACGCAAGUCGGACCCAGCCAUGCCGCGUGCAGGAUGAAGGCGUUAUGCGUUGUAACCUGCUUUUAUACAGGAAGAACCGACUCUUGCGAGAGGCAUUGACGGUACCUCCAGAAGAAGCCCCGGCUAACUACGUGCCAGCCGCCGCCGUAACAC
rnacentral:rRNA from 1 species